GGGGGCAUCCCCCCCGGGCGGUAGAGGUAAAACUCUCACGCUCCACAUACCCGAAUCCUUUUUUUACGAGCACCUUUCGUUCUCCUUCGGUGGGGCAACCUGCCGUUGGAACAUCAAAACUCUUUUUGCAUCUAGCAUUACCUGUUCUGAUAUAUACAAUCGUUACAACUUUCAACAAUGGAUCUCUUGGCUCUGGCAUCGAUGAAGAACGCAGCGAAAUGCGAUAAGUAGUGUGAAUUGCAGAAUUCAGUGAAUCAUCGAAUCUUUGAACGCACAUUGCGCCCCUUGGUAUUCCAUGGGGCAUGCCUGUUCGAGCGUCAUCUACACCCUCAAGCUCUGCUUGGUGUUGGGCGUCUGUCCCGCCUCUGCGCGUGGACUCGCCCCAAAUUCAUUGGCAGCGGUCCUUGCCUCCUCUCGCGCAGCACAUUGCGCUUCUUGAGGUGUGCGGCCCGCGUCCACGAAGCAACAUUACCGUCUUUGACCUCGGAUCAGGUAGGGAUACCCGCUGAACUUAA
rnacentral:rRNA from 1 species